rnacentral:rRNA from 1 species
CCUACGGGAGGCUGCAGUGGGGAAUAUUGGGCAAUGGGCGCAAGCCUGACCCAGCAACGCCGCGUGAGGGAAGAAGGUUUUCGGAUUGUAAACCUCUGUCGCAGAAGACGAAGGAAGUGACGGUAAUCUGUGAGGAAGCCCCGGCUAACUACGUGCCAGCAGCCGCGGUAAUACGUAGGGGGCGAGCGUUGUCCGGAAUUACUGGGCGUAAAGGGAGCGUAGGCGGUUAAUUAAGUUAGAUGUGAAAUACCCGGGCUUAACUUGGGGGGUGCAUCUAAUACUGGUAAACUAGAGUACAGGAGAGGAAAGCGGAAUUCCUAGUGUAGCGGUGAAAUGCAUAGAUAUUAGGAGGAACAUCGGUGCGAAGGCGGCUUUCUGGACUGACACUGACGCUGAGGCUCGAAAGCGUGGGGAGCAAACAGGAUUAGAUACCCGGGUAGUC